UGGCUAAGUGGUAAAGAAUCUGCCUACCAAGCAGCAGACUCAGGUUCGAUCCCUGA
rnacentral:tRNA from 1 species